ensembl:lncRNA
UUUUUUUGUUUUUUGGAGACAGGGUCUCACUGUAUCGCCCAGGGUGGAGUGCAGUGGUGCGAUCACAGUUCAUGGCAGCCUUAACCUCCUGGGCUCAAGUGAUCCUCCCAUCUCAGCCUCCCGAGCAGCUGGGAUCACAGACAUGCACCACCACACUCGGCUAAUUUUUAAAUGUUUUGUACGGACGGGGUCUCACCAUGUUGUCUAGGUUGGUCUCAAGCAAUUCUCCUGCCUCGGCCUCCCGAAGUGCUAAGAUUAUAGGUGUAAAAGCCACAGCACUGAGCCUUUUUAUCAUUUUAUUUGAAGUAUAACGGAACGCUUAGACCCCGGGGGUUCCAUCUGAUUAUAAUGGAGUUGAAAAGUUUCUAUCGCCUAGUGAUGUCGUAGGCCUCAUAAGGCUGUAGCACAACGAGCUACCUUCUCUGUGUUGAGAUACGCAAAUGCUUACCAUUGUGUUCCAGAUGCCUGCCGUAUUCAGCUCAGCACCCAGUUGUGCAGGCCUGCCACCUAGGAGCAGUAGGCUCAACCGUGCAGCCUGGGUGUGUGACAGGCCACAGCAUCUGGGUUUGUGUAAGUGCACUCUGCAGUGUUCACACAACCAUGAAAUUGCCUCAGGACUCAUUUUCCCGUGGUUUCCCGGCGAAUGACUGGAUAACGGAUGGACAGCCAACUGCAUGUACCUGAAGCGUGCGACUCGGCCGGUUUCGAGACCUGUGAUCGCUGACGGAGGCGUCUCCGUGGUCGAGAUCACGAACUUCCCUCCACAGCCUCCGCUGUGACCCGUUGACCACCCCUCCCUGUUCCCCCCUCCUCCCCACCCCCAUCCCUGUUCCUAGACAGCCACUGUUCUGCUUUAUGUAGACGAGUUUCCAUUUCUAGAACGUUGUAUAGAUGAGGUCAGCCAGCACGUGCUUAUUUUUUCCUGGUUUCUUUCACUCGGCAUACCUCUUUUGAGAGGUAACCGUGUCACCGCAUGUAUCAAUGUGUUUGGCAUAAUUAUUUUGAGAUGUAUUCGUGUCAUGCACGUGUCAAUGCGUUCACUUUCUCCCGGCUACUGUCACAAAUUGCCACACACUGAGUGGCUUAAAACAACACAAAUCUAUUAACCUUACAAUUCUGGAGGCCAGAAUUCUGAAAUGGGUCCCACUAGGCCAAAAUGAAGGUGUCAACAGGAAUGACUGUGCUUUCUCUGGAGGCUCACAUGGAAAAUCCACGUCCCCGCCCCUCCAGCUCCCAAAGCUGCCUUCGUUCCUUGGCUGGCGGCCCUCCUCCAUCUUCAAAGCCAGCGUUGACCAGGCUAGCCCUUCCCACAUCCCGGCACUCUGACCUCCUCUUCCGCCUCCUUCCUCCGUUUUUAAGCAUCUUGUGAUCUCAUUGCUGACUCAGAUAAUCCAGGAUAAUCUCCCUAUUUAAGGCCAGCUGCUAAGCAACCUUAAUUCCAUCUGCAACCUCAAUUCCCCUUCAGCAUAAACCUAAUGUAUUCCCAACUUCCCGGGAUUAGGGCAUGAACAUCUUUUGGGAGACCAUUGUUCUGCCUAUCACAGUCAAUAGCCCCUCAAUCAUUAUUGCAGAAUAGUUUUCCAUCAUGGGCACAAUCUGUUUCUCUAUCUAACUGUUCACGGCAUUUUGGGAGGAUUCCAGUGUUUGGCGAUUACAAGUGAAGCUGCUGGGAACAUGCCCAUACAAGUCUGUGUUGACACCUGCUCUUGCUUCUUCUGUGUAAAUAUCUAGGAGGGGGAUUGUUGGGUUGCAUGGAAGACAU